rnacentral:rRNA from 1 species
GUAUUUUGGACAAUGGGGGCAACCCUGAGCCCGCCACCGCGCGUGUGCGAUGGAGGCCCUCGGGUUGUAAAGCACUUUUUGCAGGGAAGAAAAGGCGCUGACUAAUACCUCGAGCUGCGUACUGUACCUGCAGAAGCAGCAGCUGCGAACACUGUGCCAACAGCCGCGGUAAGACGUAGGGUGCAAGCGUUAAUCGGAAUUACUGGGCGUAAAGCGUGCGCCGGCGGUUCGGCAAGAAGGAUGUGAAAUCCCAGGGCUUAACCUGGGAACUGAAUUCUUAACUGCCGGGCUAGAGUAUGUCAGAGGGGGGUAGAAUUCCGCGUGUAGCAGUGAAAUGCGUAGAGAUGCGGAGGAAUACCGAUGGCGAAGGCAGCCCCCUGGGAUAAUACUGACGCUCAUGCACGAAAGCGUGGGGAGCAAAC